rnacentral:lncRNA from 1 species
GGCUGGAUCCUCAUAGACCGAUGCGGAAAGCACUUCGGCACCAUUUUGAAUUACCUCCGAGAUGACACCAUCAUCCUCCCGCAAAACCGGCAGGAAAUCAAGGAAUUGAUGGCUGAAGCAAAAUAUUACCUCAUUCAGGGGCUGGUGAACAUGUGCCAGACUGCUCUGCAGGUACGGAGAUACGGUCGCGUUAGGUUGAGGAGGUAGGGAGUUGGUCCUGUGCUUUGGGGACACUAAGGUCCAGUUCCCGAAAGUCUGUGUGACGAGUGCCGUGAGUCCAAACCAAGUUAGAUACACCAGGUGGGUGUUGCCCAGGCCAAGGACACUGGCAGCCGGUCCAUUUGUAAGGUGACGGACUCAGGCGGUAUGACUAAGCCCAGCUUCCGGUUUCUAUGCCUUGAUACCUGGAUUUUAGGUUUUCUGGAAACGGGGUUCUGCCUGCGGGCUGGCAGUUUCUGUUGCCAGAUGCCUCCACAACAAGCAGAGGGUGGCCUUGGCAUAGGGGCUCUGACGGCUCCUGGGGAAAGCCUGGCUUAGCCUGGCAAGCAAGAGAGCUCAAAAAAGAUUCUCGGCUGUGUGUGUCACCCAGGACAAGAAGGACUCCUACCAGCCCGUGUGCAAC